CCUGGCUCAGAUUGAACGCUGGCGGCAAGCCUAACACAUGCAAGUCGAGCGGCAGCGAAAGAAAGCUUGCUUUCUUGUCGGCGAGCGGCAAACGGGUGAGUAAUAUCUGGGGAUCUGCCCAAAAGAGGGGGAUAACUACUAGAAAUGGUAGCUAAUACCGCAUAAUGUUGAAAAACCAAAGUGGGGGACCUUUUUGGCCUCAUGCUUUUGGAUGAACCCAGACGAGAUUAGCUUGUUGGUAGAGUAAUAGCCUACCAAGGCGACGAUCUCUAGCUGGUCUGAGAGGAUAACCAGCCACACUGGAACUGAGACACGGUCCAGACUCCUACGGGAGGCAGCAGUGGGGAAUAUUGCACAAUGGGCGAAAGCCUGAUGCAGCUAUGCCGCGUGUAUGAAGAAGGCCUUAGGGUUGUAAAGUACUUUCAGCGGGGAGGAAAAAAAUAAAACUAAUAAUUUAUUACGUGACGU
rnacentral:rRNA from 2 species